rfam:Myotis lucifugus cont2.34355, whole genome shotgun sequence.
GGCAGUUCUCAAGAGAUGCACCCCGGAAUCAGGCUCCCUCCUCUCUGGUUCUGGGUGUGUCACCCAAGAACCGCU